rnacentral:rRNA from 1 species
CUACGGGAGGCAGCAGUGGGGAAUAUUGCACAAUGGGCGCAAGCCUGAUGCAGCCAUGCCGCGUGUAUGAAGAAGGCCUUCGGGUUGUAAAGUACUUUCAGCGGGGAGGUAGGGAGUAAAGUUAAUACCUUUGCUCAUUGACGUUACCCGCAGAAGAAGCACCGGCUAACUCCGUGCCAGCAGCCGCGGUAAUACGGAGGGUGCAAGCGUUAAUCGGAAUUACUGGGCGUAAAGCGCACGCAGGCGGUUUGUUAAGUCAGAUGUGAAAUCCCCGGGCUCAACCUGGGAACUGCAUCUGAUACUGGCAAGCUUGAGUCUCGUAGAGGGGGGUAGAAUUCCAGGUGUAGCGGUGAAAUGCGUAGAGAUCUGGAGGAAUACCGGUGGCGAAGGCGGCCCCCUGGACGAAGACUGACGCUCAGGUGCGAAAGCGUGGGGAGCAAACAGGAUUAGAUACCCCCGUAGUC